rnacentral:tRNA from 1 species
UCUAAUAUGGCAGAUAUAAUGCUAUGAAUUUAAAAUUCAUGUAUAAAUAAUUUUAUUUUGUUAGAA